ensembl:lncRNA
AUAUAUAUACACACACACACACACACACACACACACAUACCUUAAAGAGUGUACAGAAGUAUACAUAGAUUUAAAUAUAGUCAAAGUUAUGAGUGAUGUCAUAACGCUAUGUGCCGAUGCAUUGUAAAAGAGAAAUACACAUUCUGUUAAACUGUAAAGGCUGGCUGUAAAGUUCAAGCCUUACUAAGUCAGUAAAGUUAUAUAUUAGAACAAUAACCAUCUACUAUAGUUAUUCAUUAACCCAUAGUCAAUGGCUUUCAAAGUAUAUUUUUAAAAAACAAACCCAUAUUUCAUGCGAGAAACAUGUAUUAUGUCAGUGCAGGAACACAGAAGAGACAAUUGUACUUGGAUAUCUUAGUAUAUUAACUGACAGAAAGCAGAAUUGUAAAGCUAUAUUGUUUCAUUUGCGUGAUGUCUCUCUUCCCCAUGACAGCUGCAAAGAUGGUGGCUUAAUUAAGAUAGUUCACUCAGGCUGUUGACCGUUGAAUAAAAUGGUAUCCAGCUCACAGUUGAACACGUGAGAGUUUUGUUCAAUAGCAUCCAUCCUUGUUUGCUGAUAUUACUAAGAUCCUAAAACACAGAUAUCUGUCAAUGACAGGCUUUAAGGAGUAGGCUUCAUAUACAUUCAAUAUUCUGAAGCAUAGCCAGCAACACCUACAGGACUAAAACAGUCAAAUGCACAUACUCUCUCUUUCUCCAUCUUUCUGAGUGUUUGUCGCUCACAAAACCAACAUUUUCCUCCAAACCAACUGAUUAUUGAGUUGAGCUCUAGGCCUUUUCAAACAGGAAACCUAACAGAGACAAAAUGCUAUACAGAAUAUCAAACAAAGAAUCGCAAUACAAUCAAUUCUAGACAACACAGUCAACCUAUAAUAGCCUAGUUUGCUUCAAGUUUUCAAGCUUUUAUGGAAUAGGUUUCGACUGGACUAGACCUCAAAGCAAUUAAGAGAGAGAGAAGUCAUAUUUCAGUUUGGAGAGUGUUGAACUGUCAGAGAAAGAGAAGUUAUGCUUGUUUGAUUCAUAAACUCACAGAGAAGCUCAUUACAUCCAGUGGUAUGACAGAGGCAGAACAUUCAAACAAGUCAGUCAACAUUAUAAACAAUCCUAAAUGACUGUCUAAUACCAGUCUCAUUCAUCCUGUAACUAAUUAACAGAUGACCACAGAAGUGCUGAUAAAAACACUAGUUCUCACCAUUUUUGGAGUCAUCCACUUCCUUACAGCUGGCCAAUCAUAAUUUAGUCAUCCAUUGUAAUCAUUCAUUCAUGAAUCAAUCAUUCACUAAUUCAUUCAUUAUUUGUAAACCUUGUCAUAGCAAUGUCCAGUGUUAUAGUUCUGACUGGGGUGUAAUGUCCAGUGUUAUAGUCCUGACUGUGGUGUAAUGUCCAGUAUUAUAGUCCUGACUGUGGUGUAAUGUCCAGUGUUAUAGUUCUGACUGUGGUGUAAUGUCCAGUAUUAUAGUCCUGACUGUGGUGUAAUGUCCAGUAUUAUAGUCCUGACUGUGGUGUAAUGUCCAGUAUUAUAAUGUCCAGUAUUAUAGGUCUGACUGUGGUGUAAUGUUCAGUGUCUUUACAUUUCAGUGAAGAUUCAUAAUACCACCUAAUAAC